rnacentral:rRNA from 1 species
GACCGGUGCCAGCCGCCGCGGUAAUACCGGCGGCUCGAGUGGUGGCCACUAUUACUGGGCUUAAAGCGUUCGUAGCUGGUCUGUUAAGUCUCUGGGGAAAUCUACUGGCUUAACCAAUAGGCGUCUCAGGGAUACUGGCAGACUAGGGACCGGGAGAGGUGAGAGGUACUCCAGGGGUAGGAGUGAAAUCCUGUAAUCCUUGGGGGACCACCUGUGGCGAAGGCGUCUCACCAGAACGGCUCCGACAGUGAGGGACGAAAGCUGGGGGAGCAAACCGGAUUAGAUACCCGGGUAGUCCCAGCCGUAAACGAUGCGCGUUAGGUGUAUCGGUGACCACGAGUCACCGAGGUGCCGAAGAGAAAUCGUGAAACGUGCCGCCUGGGAAGUACGGUCGCAAGGCUGAAACUUAAAGGAAUUGGCGGGGGAGCACCACAACAGGUGGAGCCUGCGGUUUAAUCGGACUCAACGCCGGAAAUCUCACCGGAUAAGACAGCUGGAUGAUAGUCGGGCUGAAGACUCUACUUGACUAGCUGAGAGGAGGUGCAUGGCCGUCGUCAGUUCGUAUG